rnacentral:sRNA from 1 species
GAAAGUAAAAAUACAGAGUCGCAGGAGAAACACUGCGGCUAUGAAAGUUGCAAAAAUGUAAAAGUGAAUGAAAAACGGAAUAACAAAGGAUGCCCUAGGGAAAACCCUAAGAGGCAGUUUAUAUAAGCGAGAAAUGAAACAAAUAAGGAAACUAGAUAUAUAGCGAAUCUUCACGUCAUGACCCUGCGAUCGAAUGUGUCAUUGGCAUCUAAUGGGCUGAAAUGAGCUUCCCUGUGAUCGAGUAUGUCUUUGAUCAAACUGGGCUUCAGGAGCUCCGCCUUGCGAUCGAGUGAGAUGUAGUAAAGUCGAGAUUGAAUGGUCCAGCGACCCUGUCAUCGAGUGCGAUCGAGUGGAUGUCAUGAGGUGGUGAUCGAGUGGUUUCUUCGGCUUCUCUUCUCUUCUUUGUUCUCAGCUUGUCUGGUUGAGUGCAGAACGAGCAGAUAGGCCUCCUGGUGAUUGAGUGGUUCUUAUGGGGUGAUUCCUCCGGCUUCGCGAUUGAGUGAAACUUAGCUUCUAGC